rnacentral:rRNA from 1 species
UACGGAGGGGGCUAGCGUUGUUCGGAAUUACUGGGCGUAAAGCGCACGUAGUCGGCUUUGCAAGUCGGGUGUGAAAUCCCCGGGCUCAACCUGGGAACUGCAUCCGAGACUGCAUUGCUAGAGUAUGGGAGAGGGAAGCGGAAUUUCUGGUGUAGCAGUGAAAUGCGUAGAUAUCAGAAGGAACAUCAGUGGCGAAGGCGGCUUCCUGGACCAAUACUGACGAUCAGGUGCGAAAGCGUGGGGAGCAAACAGG